GGUGCAUGUAUUUUGAUGGUUGGGAAGAUGAUGAUGACUAUUGUCACCCAAUGCGGCCAUUACCAUCAACAUGGAAUUGUGGUGUAGUGGUUCCCAGGGAUUUAGAUGUGACGUCAUUAGAUGUAAGACAUUUACAAGGUCUAUGUAGAUCGUUAGAAAUAUUAACAAGGAUAAGACAAGCAAAAAUUGAAUUUGGUUAUCGUUGCGGU